rnacentral:rRNA from 1 species
AUUGAACGCUGGCGGCAUGAUUUACACAUGCAAGUCGAACGGUAACAGACCGCAAGGUGCUGACGAGUGGCGAACGGGUGAGUAAUGCAUCGGAACGUGCCCAGUCGUGGGGGAUAACUACUCGAAAGAGUAGCUAAUACCGCAUACGAUCUAUGGAUGAAAGCGGGGGACCGUAAGGCCUCGCGCGAUUGGAGCGGCCGAUGUCAGAUUAGGUAGUUGGUGGGGUAAAGGCUCACCAAGCCAACGAUCUGUAGCUGGUCUGAGAGGACGACCAGCCACACUGGGACUGAGACACGGCCCAGACUCCUACGGGAGGCAGCAGUGGGGAAUUUUGGACAAUGGGCGCAAGCCUGAUCCAGCAAUGCCGCGUGCAGGAAGAAGGCCUUCGGGUUGUAAACUGCUUUUGUACGGAACGAAACGGCUCUGGUUAAUACCCGGGGCUAAUGACGGUACCGUAAGAAUAAGCACCGGCUAACUACGUG